rnacentral:rRNA from 1 species
ACCCGUCGGGUGACGAGGGAGACAGGUGGUGCAUGGUUGUCGUCAGCUCGUGUCGUGAGAUGUUGGGUUAAGUCCCGCAACGAGCGCCAACCCCUGUCCUAUGUUGCCAGCAUUAAGUUGGGGACUCAUAGGAGACUGCCGGCGUCAAGCCGGAGGAAGGUGGGGAUGACGUCAAGUCAUCAUGCCCCUUAUGUCCUGGGCUGCACACGUGCUACAAUGGCCGGUACAAUGGGCUGCGAUGCCGCGAGGCGGAGCGAAUCCCAUAAAACCGGUCCCAGUUCGGAUCGGAGGCUGCAACCCGCCUCCGUGAAGUCGGAGUUGCUAGUAACCGCAGGUCAGCUAUACUGCGGUGAAUACGUUCCCGGGGCUU